rnacentral:tRNA from 1 species
GCUCCCGUAGUUUAAUGGAUAGAAUUUAGGUUUGCGGUACCUGAGAUCCAAGUUCGAUUCUUGGCGGGAGCA